GCCUGGUGUGGUGGUGCACACCUGUAAUCCCAGCAGCUCGGGAGGCUGAGACAGGAGGAUUUCGAGUUUAAAGCCAGCCUCAGCAAAACUGAGGCACUAAUCAACUCAGUGAGACCCUGUCUCUA
rnacentral:sRNA from 1 species